rnacentral:misc_RNA from 1 species
UUUCCGUAGGUGAACCUGCGGAAGGAUCAUUCAUAAUAAAGUGUUUUAUGGCACUUUUUAAAAAUCCAUAUCCACCUUGUGUGCAAUGUUAGAUCUCGUCAAUCUUGGCGAGAUUUUUAUACAUCAACUCAUUUUUUCACUAAUUUGUCUGAAAAAUAUUAUGAAUACUUAAUUCAAAAUACAACUUUCAACAACGGAUCUCUUGGCUCUC